CCUACGGGUGGCAGCAGUGAGGAAUAUUGGUCAAUGGGCGUAAGCCUGAACCAGCCAAGUCGCGUGAGGGAUGAAGGUUCUAUGGAUCGUAAACCUCUUUUAUAAGGGAAUAAAGUGUGGGACGUGUCCUAUUUUGUAUGUACCUUAUGAAUAAGGAUCGGCUAACUCCGUGCCAGCAGCCGCGGUAAUACGGAGGAUCCGAGCGUUAUCCGGAUUUAUUGGGUUUAAAGGGUGCGUAGGCGGCCUUUUAAGUCAGCGGUGAAAGUCUGUGGCUCAACCAUAAUAUUGCCGUUGAAACUGGUGGGCUUGAGUGGGUGAGAAGCAGGCGGAAUGCGUGGUGUAGCGGUGAAAUGCAUAGAUAUCACGCAGAACCCCGAUUGCGAAGGCAGCAUACCGACGCAUGACUGACGCUGAUGCACGAAAGCGUGGGUAUCGAACAGGAUUAGAUACCCGUGUAGUC
rnacentral:rRNA from 1 species